AUUGAACGCUGGCGGCAGGCCUAACACAUGCAAGUCGAGCGAGCGUCGGACGGGUGAGUAAUGUAUGGGGACUGCCCGAUAGAGGGGGAUAACUACUGGAAACGGUGGCUAAUACCGCAUACCGUCGGAUAACCCACAUGGGAUUAGCUUGUAGGUGAGGUAACGGCUUACCUAGGCGACGAUCCCUAGCUGGUCUGAGAGGAUGAUCAGCCACACUGGGACUGAGACACGGCCCAGACUCCUACGGAGGCAGCAGUGGGGAAUAUUGCACAAUGGGCGCAAGCCUGAUGCAGCCAUGCCGCGUGUAUGAAGAAGGCCCUAGGGUUGUAAAGUACUUUCAGUCGGGAGGCGUUACCGACAGAAGAAGCACCGGCUAACUCCGUGCCAGCAGCCGCGGUAAUUC
rnacentral:rRNA from 1 species